rnacentral:rRNA from 1 species
UACGGGGGGGGCAAGCGUUGUCCGGAAUUACUGGGCGUAAAGGGCUCGUAGGCGGCCAAUUAAGUCAGACGUGAAAUCCCCAGGCUUAACCUGGGAACUGCGUCUGAUACUGGAUGGCUUGAAUUCGGGAGAGGGAUGCAGAAUUCCAGGUGUAGCGGUGAAAUGCGUAGAUAUCUGGAGGAAUACCGGUGGCGAAGGCGGCAUCCUGGACCGACAUUGACGCUGAGGAGCGAAAGCUAGGGGAGCAAACGGG